rnacentral:rRNA from 1 species
GAUGAACGCUAGCUACAGGCUUAACACAUGCAAGUCGAGGGGAAACGACAUCGAAAGCUUGCUUUUGAUGGGCGUCGACCGGCGCACGGGUGAGUAACGCGUAUCCAACCUGCCCAUCACUUGGGAAUAACCUUGCGAAAGUAAGACUAAUACCCAAUGAUAUCCCACGAAGGCAUCGGAAUGGGAUUAAAGAUUUAUCGGUGAUGGAUGGGGAUGCGUCUGAUUAGCUUGUUGGCGGGGUAACGGCCCACCAAGGCAACGAUCAGUAGGGGUUCUGAGAGGAAGGUCCCCCACAUUGGAACUGCGCCACGGUCCAAACUCCUACGGGAGGCAGCAGUGAGGAAUAUUGAUCAAUGGGCGAGAGCCUGAACCAGCCAAGUAGCGUGCAGGAAGACGGCCCUAUGGGUUGUAAACUGCUUUUAUAAGGGAAUAAAGUGGGUCACGUGUGACUUUUUGCAUGUACCUUAUGAAUAAGGACCGGCUAAUUCCGUG